rnacentral:rRNA from 1 species
GCAGAGACUUACUGACUUAGUAAUAUAUAGGAAAAUAAGUUAUUUAGGGUGUCAUUGCAACUUGGCAUAUUUAAGGGGUAGCCUUUGGCCAUGCACAAAAUGACCAUUGAUGGAGGAGUUAAGCAAAGUUCUCUUGUUAGAAGAUGAACUAGUUGAAGCUGCCGACUGCAAUUGAGCAACAGCAGGAAUUUGAGAAGGGUUACUCUGAUUCAUGGAGCAAAAGACAGAUCCUGAAUUUUGAACCAAAUGUGCCUGAUCGCAUACAGGUACAUUCAAUUGCAGUGGAUUUGGCAGAGGACUUAUUACAUUGGAAGUGGACAUUGAUACUAAGGGGAUUUCAAAAGAGUCCAGUGGAGGAGGGGGGUGUCGCCACUGUGGAAGAGGCCCUGCAAGCAAAAGAGUCUGCAACAAUGGCCCAGCUUUCAUUACAGCUUCCAGCAGCUUGCCUUUCUCAGGGAGAGAUUUCAUUAUUACUUGGGGGUC